GAUGAACGCUAGCUACAGGCUUAACACAUGCAAGUCGAGGGACCGGCGCACGGGUGCGUAACACGUAUCUAACCUGCCCUUUACUCGGGGAUAGCCUUUCGAAAGAAAGAUUAAUACCCGAUGUACAGGAUGGGGAUGCGUUCCAUUAGGUUGUUGGUGAGGUCACGGCAAACCAAGCCUUCGAUGGUUAGGGGUUGGGAGAGGAAGGUCCCCCGCAUUGGAACGACGACACGGACCAAACUCGUACGGAGGGGAGGAGUAAGUAAGAUAAGGGAAGGGGCGUUAGCCUAAACAAGCCAAGUAGGGUAAAGAAGGAAGCCGUUGGAAACGUAAACUUCUUUUGAAUAAGAAUAUGUAUUAUAAGAAUAAGGAUCGGCUAACUCCGUGCCAGCCGCCGCGGUAAUAC
rnacentral:rRNA from 1 species